CAACGCCGGAAAUCUCACCGGGGGCGACAGCGAUAUGAAGGUCAGGCUGAAGACCUUACCCGAUUAGCUGAGAGGUGGUGCAUGGCCGUCGUCAGUUCGUACUGUGAAGCAUCCUGUUAAGUCAGGCAACGAGCGAGACCCACAUCCACAGUUGCCAGCAUAUUCUCCGGAAUGAUGGGUACACUGUGGAGACCGCCGCUGCUAAAGCGGAGGAAGGAGUGGGCAACGGUAGGUCAGUAUGCCCCGAAUCUCCCGGGCUACACGCGGGCUACAAUGGUUGGUACAAUGGGCAUCUACCCCGAAAGGGGAAGGUAAUCUCUUAAAACCAAUCGUAGUUCGGAUUGAGGGCUGCAACUCGCCCUCAUGAAGCUGGAAUCUGUAGUAAUCGCGUUUCAACAGAACGCGGUGAAUACGUCCCUGCUCCUUGCACACACCGCCCGUCAAACCACCCGAGUAGGGUCUGGAUGAGGGUGUGUUAUUUUGACACAUUCGAAUCCGGGCUUUGCAAGGGGGGUU
rnacentral:rRNA from 1 species